rnacentral:rRNA from 1 species
UACGAAGGGGGCUAGCGUUGUUCGGAAUUACUGGGCGUAAAGCGCGCGCAGGCGGUCUUCCAAGUCAGUGGUGAAAGCCAGGAGCUCAACUCCGGAACUGCCAUUGAAACUGUGAGACUUGAGGAUGAGAGAGGUGAGUGGAAUUCCCAGUGUAGAGGUGAAAUUCGUAGAUAUUGGGAAGAACACCGGUGGCGAAGGCGGCUCACUGGCUCAUUACUGACGCUCAGGCGCGACAGCGUGGGGAUCAAACAGG